UACGAAGGGUCCAAGCGUUAUCCGGAUUUAUUGGGUUUAAAGGGUGCGUAGGCGGCUUAUUAAGUCAGUGGUGAAAGCCUGUAGCUUAACUACAGAACUGCCAUUGAUACUGAUGAGCUUGAAUAUACUUGAGGUUGGCGGAAUGUGUCAUGUAGCGGUGAAAUGCUUAGAUAUGACACAGAACACCGAUUGCGAAGGCAGCUAGCUAAAGUACAAUUGACGCUGAUGCACGAAAGCGUGGGGAGCGAACAGGA
rnacentral:rRNA from 1 species